rnacentral:lncRNA from 1 species
UGAGGAAGUCCAGGGCGUGUUGAUUUCUCUUGUUGGCCCAUUUUCUCCGUUUUCGGCCCGUUUCUCGCUCUUUUUACUCUCCUAUGCUCACCUAAGUAUAAAACAUGAAAUUAAAGGGUUAGGGGCAUUGAAUUCACCAAAUCUAAGGAUAUUUCAUCCAAAAAUAUGCUAAGCAUGAGGUAAAAAUAUGUAUAAAUUAUGGUUUAUCAAUGCCUCAGUACUAUUUGAUACAGAGUUGAUAAAUGCACAAUACGGGUUGUCUAAUGGUCUAGAUGAACACGUUGAUUUCCUCAAGACCAUGAUAGUAAAAAAACUAAAUCACAUGCUCACUGAUGUCUG